CGGACGGGUGAUAACGCCUGAGAAUCUGCCUUUAGGACGGGGACAACAGUUGGAAACGGCUGCUAAAACCCGAUGUGCCCUUAGGGGUGAAAUAUUUAUAGCCUGAAGAUGAGCUCGCGUCUGAUUAGCUAGUAGGUUGGGUAAUGGCUGACCUAGGCGACGAUCAGUAACUGGUCUGAGAGGAUGACCAGUCACACUGGGACUGAAACACGGCCCCAGACUCCUACCGGAGGCAGCAGUUGGGAAUUUUCCGGAAUGGGUGCAAGCGAGGGAGCAACGCCGCGUGGGGGAGGAAGGUUUUUGGACUGUAAACCCCUUUUCACAGGGAACAAGAAAGUGACGGUACCUGAGGAAUAAGCCUCGGCUAAUUCCGUGCCAGCUGCCGCGGUUAUACGGGAGAGGCAAGCGUUAUCCGGAAUUAUUGGGCGUAAAGCGCCUGCAGGCGGUUAAUCAAGUCUGUUGUC
rnacentral:rRNA from 1 species